rnacentral:rRNA from 1 species
UACGAAGGGGACUAGCGUUGUUCGGAAUUACUGGGCGUAAAGCGCACGUAGGCGGAUUUGUUAGUCAGGGGUGAAAUCCCAGAGCUCAACUCUGGAACUGCCUUUGAUACUGGGUACCUAGAGUAUGGAAGAGGUGAGUGGAAUUCCGAGUGUAGAGGUGAAAUUCGUAGAUAUUCGGAGGAACACCAGUGGCGAAGGCGGCUCACUGGUCCAUUACUGACGCUGAGGUGCGAAAGCGUGGGGAGCAAACAGG